AACGAACGCUGGCGGCAGGCUUAACACAUGCAAGUCGAGCGCAUCACUUCGGUGAUGAGUGGCGAACGGGUGAGUAAUACAUAAGUAACCUAGCCUCUGGAGGGGGAUAACUAUUGGAAACGAUAGCUAAGACCGCAUAGGCAUAGGCAUCGCAUGAUGAAUAUGUUAAAUAUCCCACGGGAUAGCGAGAGGAUGGACUUAUGGCGCAUCAGCUGGUUGGUGAGGUAGAGGCUCACCAAGGCGACGAUGCGUAGCCGACCUGAGAGGGUGGACGGCCACACUGGGACUGAGACACGGCCCAGACUCCUACGGGAGGCAGCAGUAGGGAAUUUUCGGCAAUGGGCGAAAGCCUGACCGAGCAACGCCGCGUGAGGGAGGAAGUACUUCGGUAUGUAAACCUCUGUUAUAAAGGAAGAACGGCAUAUGUAGGGAAUGACAUAUGAGUGACGGUACUUUAUGAGGAAGCCACGGCUAACUACGUGCCAGCAGCCGCCGUAAGAC
rnacentral:rRNA from 1 species